UACGAAGGGGGCUAGCGUUGUUCGGAAUUACUGGGCGUAAAGGGCGCGUAGGCGGCCAUUCAAGUUAGGUGUGAAAGCCCUGGGCUCAACCUAGGAAUUGCACUUGAUACUGUUUGGCUUGAGUUCGGGAGAGGUGAGUGGAAUUCCCAGUGUAGAGGUGAAAUUCGUAGAUAUUGGGAAGAACACCAGUGGCGAAGGCGGCUCACUGGCCCGGUACUGACGCUCAGGUGCGAAAGCGUGGGGAGCGAACGGG
rnacentral:rRNA from 1 species